rnacentral:rRNA from 1 species
AUGAAUCUCUUGGCCUGGAACUGUCGAGGGUUGGGAUUGACCUCGACAGUUGGCGAACUUAGGGAUCUCAUUAGAUCCUAUAAUCCCGCCGUGGUGUUUUUAUGUGAGACGCUUAAAAUGGCUAGAGCUAUGGAUAGACUGAAAUGGAGUUUGGGUUUCAAGCAUGGUGUGGUAGUGGAUUGUGUGGGACGGAGCGGUGGUUUGUCUAUGUGGUGGAGGGAUGAUGUGCAGGUGACGGUCAGGCCAUGGAGCCAAUAUUUCAUCGAUACCCAGAUGUUGUGGGAAUGCAAAUCCUAUAGAGUCACUGGAUUCUAUGGGGAGCCCAAAACAGACCAUCGAAAGAAAUCAUGGGAUGCACUUCGGUAUCUACGUGCACAAGAUGAUCUUCCAUGGAUCUGCUUGGGCUACUUUAACGAGGCACUCUUUCACGCUGACCAGAAGGGGGGGAACCCAUGA